GCCUUCAGAUGAACAUGACAAAAGUGAUAUUAGCCAUUUAAUGCAGCUAUAUGAUUAAAAAACUCUUCAGGAUACCUAAACUUUCUUCGUUUAUUAUGAUCUUUAAUGUUUAACGCAGAGAGAGUGAAGUUAUUUUAUCUUUCUUGUGUGAGUUAUUGAUUAUUGAUGUGAUUGUCAGCCAACAGUCCCCCUAAAGUGAUCGUCCUGCCACCGUCCAGUGAAGAGAUUUCCACAAAGCAAGCAGCAACACUGAUGUGUGUGGCCAACAAGGGCUUCCCCUCAGACUGGAGUCUGAACUGGAAGGUGGACGGGAUCAGCAGCAGGUCUCAGUACAGCAGUGUUGCUCUCCUGGAGAAGGACGGUCUGUACAGCUGGAGCAGCAGUCUGACUCUCUCUGAGCAGGAGUGGAGCUCAGUGAUCUCAGUCAGCUGUGAGCUCACACAGAAAGACCAGCGUGAUAAAGUCACUGGAGAAUUGAGGAGAGAUCAGUGUUCACAGUAGAUCCACUCACUCUCUCCUCUGUCUCACAUCAAGACUAACAGACUAACUGUGUUUCUCUCUCUCAUCUCACAUCUCUUUUCACAAACAACACAAGUCUAUGUCUGCUUUAUUCAUUCACUCAUGAUUGUGUGACAAUUCAUCAAAUAAAAUCAGAUUGUAUCUUUA